UGGGAUGUGGCUCGGUGGUUGAGUGCUUGCCUAGCAUGCAUGGGGCACUGGGUUCAAUCCUCAGCACCACAU
rfam:Ictidomys tridecemlineatus contig053229, whole genome shotgun sequence.